AAAAAAUGGCAAAAGCAUUCCAACUUUUGUCAAAAAUAUCGACUCUUUAAUUUUUAACAGCAAUUAAUUUUUCAGUGCUGUAUAAAGGUUUUAUUUUACUUUGCACUGCCUGCAUUGUUAAAGCUUUCUUAGAAUAUUUGCAGUUGAAAAUAUAUUGUUUUGUCUGCAUAUAUAUCAAAUUUGCAGCAUUCCCCCUUAGUGAUUUUUUAAUAUCCCCAAAUAGAAAAUAUUUUAUGGUAAAUGGAACAUAUAU
rnacentral:lncRNA from 1 species